CGGGUGAGUAAUGUAUGGGGAUCUGCCUGAUGGCGGGGGAUAACUACUGGAAACGGUAGCUAAUACCGCAUAAUGUCUGCGGACCAAAGCGGGGGACCUCCGGGCCUCGCGCCAUCAGAUGAACCCAUAUGGGAUUAGCUAGUAGGUAAGGUAACGGCUUACCUAGGCGACGAUCCCUAGCUGGUCUGAGAGGAUGAUCAGCCACACUGGAACUGAGACACGGUCCAG
rnacentral:rRNA from 1 species